GGCUGGUUAGCUCAGUCAGUUAGAGCGUGGUACUGAUAACACUAAGGUCGCAGGUUCGAUCCCUGUUCAGUCCG
rnacentral:tRNA from 1 species